AUCCUUCUUCUUCCACUACCCUAAUAUAAAUUCGCCCUUUCCCCGAUCAAGGGACAAACAUGUAUUGCAAUCAUUAGUCUGAGUUACAAGUUAAAGGACAAUUAUUACAAUAUUGACAUAACGGGAUAUAUCGGUAUCUGUACGUCUGCAUGGAAUUUCUGAAUGAUUCGUUAAUGUGGAAUUACAUGUAAUAACUUUGUCCAGUUUUGGCUGGGAUGUGAUGACUCAUAAGUUGCUACCCCACCCAACCUACAAUUUCUUUCACAUACUUGUGCCACUCCUUAUCCAAAUGAGUUGUCGUCACUUUCUUAAGCUCUGCACGAUUUAAAAUUCUGAAAAGUAAAUUUUUAUUAUUAAAAUUAGGCAGUAUUCAUGCAAGGUUGGUUCUUCAUCCGUGGAAUGGGAAUAUCUCAAAGAUUUGCAUGAUUUACUUUUAAAAGGACCGUCAACCGCGUAGAUGUGGAUUGCAAAGGAUCUGCUCAAAAUCGGCUGGUAAAUGUGUCUUUGGACAAUGCUCUACCCAUUAAGUUGUACUGUAUUCACUAUUGACCUCGAGGAUCGGAAGUUGAAAUGGGCACGAAGGCAAAAUAUUCGCGUGCAAACUCUCUCACCAGGUUCAAAAAAGGUUAAUGAAGAGGAUAUCACUGGAAUUUGAAUUACCAUUACCGGUCUUCUCGUUAUGUAAUCUGUUCACUAGGAUAAAGUAGCUUACUGUUGUGGCUUAGCUUGUGAGAAAAAAUUCUCAAACUGGCAUAUUUACAUUACAUAAAUACAAAAGAUAAUGAUGAAUAUGUACAUAUGGGUAUGUAUGUACGUACAUAUAUGCAAAAGUGACUUUUUAGUAACCUCAGUUUUAAAGUACGAUUCAGAUUUAAUUUUUCAAAUUUCUAUUUGCAAUUUAUAUCCUAUGGUAAUGGACCUGACCUCAAAAAUCGAUUUUUAGAAAUCCUUCGAGUAUGUGUUGCGGCAUUGUAAUUCCACCCCCACCCAAAUCCAUCCCCUCUCCAUUUGUGUUUUCAUCAAGAUCGAAGUGCCUAUUGGUUUGUUCUCGCUGCACUCUGUUUAGGUAUUCUUCCGGGUGGAAUCUAGUUCUUGGAGUCUUAUACGGGUCACGAACGGGUUUUCCUGGUAUUUUUGUUAAUUCCUUCAAUGCCUGUUUUGUAGGCAGGUGGUCAAGACCGUACAUCUCAAGCGUAUACUUUCGGGUAUACUUACGAGAGGUCACACGCGUAUUUCUCCAUGGAUCUGACGGGCCACCUAUUUCAUAUUUGUCCUCUUCUUGCUGCCUUCUUUUGGACUUUCUCAACUCCUCCUGAUAGCAAAUGUCGCUUUUAUGAGUCUCAUCAUCUGAAACCAAAUGUUGGCUUCAAAUUUGACUUCCCCGACCUUUGCUUGGUGAAAAGGCUAUCGUCAUGUGAUUCACACGUUUUGGAUACAGUAAAACUGUUAGAGCACACAUCAUUGUCAAAUGGGUUAUCUGCAGAUGAACUUAACUGAAAGCAGCCUUCUUCUACUGGUCGUAAAUGUUGCAUCAACGGGUUAAGAGGCCUUUCAACCUCUACUACGGGAUUUUUUGUGGAGUUUAAGGCCAAUAAGUUAACUUCGUAAUUUUUUAGCAGGCAUUUUAUGCGAAAAGUUACGAAUAUUAUAAAAAGCUAAACUGUAUUAAAUUAUUACUUCAGACAUUGUUUUAACAUACAACUUUUAUUUAGCUAAAUAGGGAGUUUAUCUUCUCCCUCGUUUACAUGCAUAUUGUUGGUAAAUGCCUAAAAAAUAAGGUUUUGUGGUGUGUACAUGCGUAACAUUUGUAGUCGACGGAAAGCUUUUCAACCUAAAAUAUAUAUUUCUAUGAUAAAAAAAUCCAUGCAUAAAAUUUAGAUACAGGUAAAUCUAAAUUGUUUACAAUCAUUACGAUUGGGUUUCGGUUACGUUGUUGGUGACGUCGCUCCCGAGUCGGAAGGUUUGGCUGCAAAUAUGACGAUAUCGAUGUUGUUAAUCCGUGGAUGAGAUUAGUGGUGAUGCAACAUAAAACUCAUGAUAUGCCCGGCAUUUCAUGAGUUUAAAUUAACCCUCCCAAUAUUUGUAUAAAAAUUGUGCAAAAUAUUUCAAAUUAAUUUUUACCCAUUCUAUUCACUCUGUUUUGACGAAUUUACCGUUUUUCGUUUAUAUUUAGAUUUUUCUUAAUCUCUCGAGUCGGAGGAGAAUCCUUCUGGUUAUGUAUGAGAAUUAGCUGGCUAAGAAGCAUAUGUGUAUGUCUAGAUAUAUGUAUGGCAUAAUAAUAUAUCAUAUAGUACAUUGUUGAAUUAGAUGUCCCUCGUCGCAUGAUAUAUUAAUUAUAUAAUUCAGUUUGAGAAAUGCUGUAAUGCUUUCCUUUCUUAACAACUCUGAGGAAAUUAUCAAGUACAGCACCGUUCUAAUUGGGGUUGCAUCUGUGUAAGUAAACCAGACAUGCUAAUCAUAAUAAAGACAUUUUAUCCAGUAAAUAAAAUAAUAAUUGUAUUGGUUAGUUACUUUUUAAAUUCUGCAAAUUAGUAAGAUCUUCGCCAUUAUCGGAGUUAACGUAAAUGUGAGACCGAACCCAAAAUCAUAAAUUUUAUUGUCAUUUCAUUGCUAAGCGCAUCAAGGGGUGACACGAUCACAUGUAUGCAGACGACUGGCUUAUCCUGAAAAAGUUGAGGGAAAUUGUUAAAUGGAAAUCUAAACGUCACAACGGAUUACGUUUAAACUUUUGAGUUAUUAACUCUUCUCAGGCAUGGCCCAUAGAGUUAUAUUUUGAACGAAAUAUUUUAAAAGUAAAAUAUAUAGUAAAAUAUUCGCGCAAUAAUAGUAGAGUUUCGUGGUUUUAAUUUGCUGUAAUUUUGCAUUGCACACGACUAGUUGAAGAAGACGUAAUGGUAAAAGUACGUCAAAAAUCAAUUAAAUAUAUAAAUUUAGAAAAAAACCUCUCGAAUUCGAAGAAGCUCGACAACGACAUAGAACCAAGCUUGGUAAAAUGAGUUGAGGCGCUAAAUAUUAUAAUUUGAAUAAUUUCAAAUGUCAGUACGACAAUGUUUUCAUAACCGAAAUAUGAUUAGGAAUACUUUGUCCUGAGCACGCUGAACGUAUGUAAAUAAUUAUGGUUAGUGUAAUUUACCAGGAGACUCUACCGAUAAGCCUAGAUAUCGUUACCAUUUGUAGGUAUGUGUAACGUAAUAUCCAUCAUACCUUAUUUCUCCGAGUUGACCUUCAAAAUAUGUAUGAUUUAUUUACGAAGUUCGUAUUAUUCUUGCAAAUCGUACAAGGAUACGUUGUUAUUUUAUCCUUAACUUAAUUAGUUGAAUGAAUGAAUGAAUGAAUGAAAGUUUAUUUAACUCUUCUUGGCAAGCCCAUAGAGUUAUAUUUUUUAAAUUAUGUAAAUAAUGUAAUAAUUAAUAAUAAAUAUAAUUAACUAAUUAAUUAAUUAUAUUGAAAUCAUUUUUAAAUCGUUCCAUAUUAAAUUAAAUUCAAAGUUGAGUUAUAUAUUGAAUUAUUGAGUUGGAUUAUUGACAUUGAUAAUAGAGAGGUAUUACCUAAUUACGUAGAAUGGUAGUUUUAGGUCCUAAAUUAACCUAAGUUAACUUAAUUAGUUAACUUGUGUCUUGACUGUGUUGACAUAAAUUUAAUGCUUUCUAAUUCAAGAAUUUUAUUUUGUUCCGCUCGAUGUGUACACUCUAUAUAUUUAAGCAAUCUUUCAUUAUGUCAUUUGUUCAUGUGCUAUGAAAAAAUAGUCAUUGUCAAAUAGUCAUUGCCAAAUAAAACCUGUUAUAUUCAAAACCAA